AUUUUGGGCUAAUGGUGCAUUAGCACUGAAGCUUCUCUACUACACGCUGAGCAGUUUGCAGAAUGGUUGGAGCUGCUCAUGGGACGGCUGGCAGAGCAGAGCGGCUGAUAGAGUGGAGCCGUUUGUGGGAUGGCUGGUGGACUGGAGUGGAGCAGAGCCCCAUGGAGAGGAGCAGGGGGUGUUCCAAAGGCUGCAGAGACGCUUGAAUGGAUCCUCACAGCUGCUCCCGCCCAGUGAGAGAGGAAAUCCAUGGGAGAAGGGAAGACAAUGUCUCACUCUCAGACCAAGCCUUUGAAGCUCCACCCUGGUGAAAGACCCUUGACUGCUCAUCACCCGUAGCAUGAAGACAAGAUGAGAGGCCUCUAGCGGGUACAAGAGUGACUCAGAGAUUCCUGGGUACGCUUGUUCUGGGCCACAGUGCUUGUUAUGAACUAGAAACCACAGACAACCACCUGGGAGGGGUGUGAAGGCCUGGUCACUGGCCAGAGCCUUUCGAGGAGUGAGGUGAUCUCUGGGAAGCUUAGCAGUGUGUGGGUAGGUUCUUCAUACAAAGGAAGCUCUUUUCAGGUUCCUGCUCCCGGAUAACGUACAUGCCGCCGCUCCCAUAUCCGGUCAUCUUCAUUGUCUCUUCCAAAAAAAAAAGCAAUCAACCAAACACCAGUCAGUCCCUCCCCCCAGCUCCCCUUACCAAGUCCCACAGAAACUCCCCUGUGUGCAGCUGCUUGCUAGCUCCCGUGCUGAGACUUUUAGACUUCAUCAUGUAAAGCAGACGAGAGUACAAUCAUACAAAACAAUAAAAACUAAAUCUGGGUCCCUGCCUCAGUUUCCUCAUCACUCCAGGGGAUUCUCUGUGCUGGGUCCAAGACCCCUGAUUAGGCAGUGUCCUGGGCCAAAGUAGCCAGCUCCUCCCCCCACACUCCUCAUGAGGCUUCUACAUGUUAGGUGGCCUCUCUCCUGGACCCUUCAUCCAGCUUCUGUGACCUUGCUCUCUCUCCCACCCUCACCCCUCACUUCCUCUUCCUGUCCCUGUUCCUGUGUGUUUCUUUAUUUUAAGCCCCCGCGUUCUCAUCUGGUCCCUUUUGUUUUUCUCCUUAUAAGGUUCCACGGCUCCUGCUUUCCCUGCUCCCUUCAGGAGCCAUCUGCACGUGUUUGCGAAGGGUGCAGCUCACCCAU